rnacentral:rRNA from 1 species
ACUCCUACGGGAGGCAGCAGUGGGGAAUCUUGGACAAUGGGCGCAAGCCUGAUCCAGCCAUGCCGCGUGAGUGAUGAAGGCCCUAGGGUCGUAAAGCUCUUUCGCCAGGGAUGAUAAUGACAGUACCUGGUAAAGAAACCCCGGCUAACUCCGUGCCAGCAGCCGCGGUAAUACGGAGGGGGUUAGCGUUGUUCGGAAUUACUGGGGCGUAAAGCGCGCGUAGGCGGACUGGAAAGUUGGGGGUGAAAUCCCCGGGGGCUCAACCCCCGGAACUGCCUCCAAAACUCCCAGUCUUGAGUUCGAGAGAGGUGAGUGGAAUUCCGAGUGUAGAGGUGAAAUUCGUAGAUAUUCGGAGGAACACCAGUGGCGAAGGCGGCUCACUGGCUCGAUACUGACGCUGAGGUGCGAAAGUGUGGGGAGCAAACAGGAUUAGAUACCCUGGUAGGAUAGCG